AUACGGAGGAUCCGAGCGUUAUCCGGAUUUAUUGGGUUUAAAGGGUGCGCAGGCGGCCACUUAAGUCAGCGGUUAAAUCGUGGGGCUCAACCCCAUUCUGCCGUUGAUACUGGGUGGCUUGAUUGCGGUCGAGGUUGGCGGAAUUCGUUGUGUAGCGGUGAAAUGCAUAGAUAUGACGAAGAAAACCGAUUGCGUAGGCAGCUGACCAGAUCGCAAAUGACGCUCAUGCACGAAAGUGCGGGGAUCGAACAGGAUUAGAUACCCUGGUAGUCCGCACAGUAAACGAUGAAUACUUGUUUUCGGCGAUAUAAUGUCGGAGGCAAAGCGAAAGCGAUAAGUAUUCCACCUGGGGAGUACGCCGGCAACGGUGAAACUCAAAGGAAUUGACGUGG
rnacentral:rRNA from 1 species